rnacentral:rRNA from 1 species
UACGGAGGAUCCGAGCGUUAUCCGGAUUUAUUGGGUUUAAAGGGUGCGCAGGCGGAAGAUUAAGUAGGCGGUGAAAUUUUGCAGCUCAACUGUAAAAGUGCCAUCGAUACUGGUUUUCUUGAGUGUGGAUGAAGUAGGCGGAAUUUGUGGUGUAGCGGUGAAAUGCAUAGAUAUCACGAGGAACUCCGAUUGCGCAGGCAGCUUACUAGGCCAUAACUGACGCUCAGGCACGAAGGCGUGGGGAUCAAACAGGAUUAGA